GGUUAAGUUGUUAAGGGCGCACGGUGGAUGCCUUGGCACUAGGAGCCGAUGAAGGACGGUACUAACACCGAUAUGCUUCGGGGAGCUGUAAGUAAGCUUUGAUCCGGAGAUUUCCGAAUGGGGAAACCCACUGCUCGUAAUGGAGUAGUAUCUUCACCUGAAUUCAUAGGGUGAUGAUGGCAGACCCGGGGAACUGAAACAUCUAAGUACCCGGAGGAAGAGAAAGCAAACGCGAUUUCCUGAGUAGCGGCGAGCGAAACGGAAGAAGCCCAAACCAAGAGGCUUGCCUCUUGGGGUUGUAGGACACUCUAUACGGAGUUACAAAGGAACGGAGUAAAUGAAGAGGUCUGGAAAGGCCCGUCAAAGAAGGUAACAACCCUGUAGUUGAAACUUCGUUCCCUCCAGAGUGGAUCCUGAGUACGGCGGGACACGUGAAAUCCCGUCGGAAGCAGGGAGGACCAUCUCCCAAGGCUAAAUACUCCCUAGUGACCGAUAGUGAACCAGUACCGUGAGGGAAAGGUGAAAAGCACCCCGGAAGGGGAGUGAAAGAGAUCCUGAAACCGUGUGCCUACAAGUAGUCAAAGCCCGUUAAUGGGUAAUGGCGUGCCUUUUGUAGAAUGAACCGGCGAGUUACGAUCCCGUGCAAGGUUAAGUUGAUAAGACGGAGCCGCAGCGAAAGCGAGUCUGAAUAGGGCGAAUAAGUACGUGGUCGUAGACCCGAAACCAGGUGAUCUACCCAUGUCCAGGGUGAAGUUCAGGUAACACUGAAUGGAGGCCCGAACCCACGCACGUUGAAAAGUGCGGGGAUGAGGUGUGGGUAGCGGAGAAAUUCCAAUCGAACUUGGAGAUAGCUGGUUCUCUCCGAAAUAGCUUUAGGGCUAGCCUUGAAAUGAGAGUCUUGGAGGUAGAGCACUGAUUGGACUAGGGGCCCCCAUCGGGUUACCGAAUUCAGUCAAACUCCGAAUGCCAAAGACUUAUGUUCAGGAGUCAGACUGCGAGUGAUAAGAUCCGUAGUCAAGAGGGAAACAGCCCAGACCACCAGCUAAGGUCCCAAAGUAUACGUUAAGUGGAAAAGGAUGUGGAGUUGCUUAGACAACCAGGAUGUUGGCUUAGAAGCAGCCACCAUUUAAAGAGUGCGUAAUAGCUCACUGGUCGAGUGACUCUGCGCCGAAAAUGUACCGGGGCUAAACGUAUCACCGAAGCUGUGGACUGUUCUUACGAACAGUGGUAGGAGAGCGUUCUAAGGGCUGUGAAGCCAGACCGUAAGGACUGGUGGAGCGCUUAGAAGUGAGAAUGCCGGUAUGAGUAGCGAAAGAGGGGUGAGAAUCCCCUCCACCGAAUGCCUAAGGUUUCCUGAGGAAGGCUCGUCCGCUCAGGGUAAGUCGGGACCUAAGCCGAGGCCGAAAGGCGUAGGCGAUGG
rnacentral:rRNA from 1 species